CAAGGGAGGGGCUGGGUUUAUGUUAGGACAACUUUUACCAUGAACCAGGAGGUUCUCCCAACGUAAACCCAGCCCCUCCCCUC
rfam:Papio anubis isolate 1X1155 chromosome 7, whole genome shotgun sequence.